ensembl:lncRNA
GUGUACUGAUGUCCCUGCGCUGCCACAUAUGUCUGUUAAGGACUUACUUGGGUACCGUGGGUUCAGAAGGUCCUGGAAAUCUACUCAGGAUCCUGAGCAGCGUGGACAGAAAAGUUGCUUUAAAAGAAAGAGCAGUAAACAUUAUUGGCCCUGAAGAGCUCCAGAGACCAGCACCCAGCAGUUUGAUGGCAUCCAGCCCAAGUCAAAUGCAGAGGAGUGCAAGAUAUCUGGCCAUACACUAGAGACUCGAAGAAUCCAGGUGAGGCUCUGGAUUCCUCAGCAAUGUCCCGCACAAGUCAGCCAGAGGCCUAGAGUCCACGGCGAGGUCUCAUGCAAGUCCAUAUGGAGGAUCUGCACCAAGAAGCCCCAGCGACCAGUGGUGGAAGCUAGAAAGCCUGUGCCGGCAGGGUGAAGGAUCUGCACCAGAGCCAGGAAGCGACGGUCAAGGUGACGACCAGAGCUGCCCUGACGAGAACAGCCAUCCCCAGUGACAGCGAGGCCCCGAGCUCCUCCCUCUGACUAUGAGAACGGCCAAGUUUGCAGCAGGAAAACCAGCCACGGCAACCUUCUCCAAGAAAAUCAACAGCAAAUGAUCUUCCCCUCCCGUUCUCUUUUUAUGACAUUGGCAACAAUCCUCAGGUGGGUCUUCCAUGCCCAGAGCCACGGUGACUCAGUUCAGCUGGCGUUCCAAGUUAACCAUUAGUUAAUCUACCACAAUCCUUCAACUGAGUGGGAACACCACUAAGAUGAAUCCCCAACCUUUUUAAAAUUUAUUUGAUUUUUGUGACAGGGCCUUGCUACUUUGCUAAACUGCCCAGGCUGACAAUGGCUGGCUCCUGUUCCUCGCCUGGAAUCACCUGGAGGCAGGUCUACACUGGCUCCUGCCUUCCUAGAGGGACAGAGCCCCAGAGCACCAUGCCCUCCCAACUUGGCUGUCUUCCUUCCCUGCCUCCAACUCACCUCUCCACAACACUCAAGUUCUUCCUUCAGAAUCAUCGGGCAGGAUAGGGACCAAGACGUGGGACAAAAAACACAAAACAAAUGACAUCUGCCCCAACUGUGACAUUUCACAUAUUUACACUGGGCAUAUUCACGUUUUUAGUGCAGCUGGGAACACAUGUGCGAAUGGGCACAGUACAGCUGAGGCAGAUGGAGGGACAAACAGAUGGAUGAAUAGUCAGGGGUCACCUUCUUCCUCCAAGAAAAUCUCAAAAGUCCUCAUCUGAAGUUCUUCCUUGAUAAGGCCCCACCAACUGAUACUUCCGGCGUAAAUCUCCUCUUAUCCCUGACUGAGGAUCAGCGGUAACAUCUGAGUCUUGCUUUAAGGACACUUGGGAAAUACGCAUUUUAGGGGGUGAAGCUGAAGCCUGAGCAAUGCUCCCAUAGGCACUCUCGGAGAAGGGUGGGCCAGCCAGCGUGGCCAGGAGAACAUGCAGAGUCUGUAUAUACCGGCCAAAAACCAGACUGGCAGCUGGACAGGCCAACAGGCACAUGUCAACCUGUGGAGACGUUACUCAGAUGACAACAGAAAGUCAGGGCAGACACCACCAGGGCCCAGCUUUAGGUUCAGUGUGAGGGAUAGAAAAUCAAAAAUAAAAGAUGUUUAUUUCUCUCAGGUAAAAUCCAUAGGUAAGAACCCCAGAAUUGUCACGGCUGUCCAGAGUAUUGGGACCCCAGGUUAAGCCCUGCUGUCUGUUCGAGGACAGCCACUUCCUUGUUUAAGACUGACUCAUGGGUCCAACAUGGCUGCCGGGCAGAGGGGGUCUGGGAAUAAGGAUGUCAGGUAAAUGCUAGCUCAUAACCAGCUAUAUCCAAAUUCCAGGCAAACAAUAUUUUUUCUGGUAUAACUAUGUCCCUGUUAUUGCCUGAGAUAUACUAACAAAAAUAUUUCUGGUGUAUCCAAAAUUCAAAUUUAACUGGCAUCCUAUGUUUUUAUUUUGUAAAUCUGGCCACCAUAACUGGAGGAAAAAGUGAGGGAGAGAGAGAGAGGACCCCAAGGGAAGAGACACAAAGAUGAGGAAACAAGGAGUGGGAGAGGGAGAGAGAGAGAAUCUGAGGAAGAGAUCAACAAACAGAGAUGGCCACAAGCUACGUCAUACAGGAGGCGCAGACAAGAGGCAGAACUGGAGAAGACCCACACGCCUACUGUUGUGUCCUGGCCACAGAGCCGUGAUUCUCCACUCGCAAAGAAUUCACUCUGCCGUGGGAGGAGAGAGCCAAGAAGGUAAGUGAGCAAAUACACUGCAGAAACACACCUGUCCUUUUAAAGAUGGAACCUAAUCAUCCUUCCUUGACCGUGGGGUGGACUGAGUCACUGACUUCUAAUUCAACUCUAUGUACAUCUGAAGAAAACUGUCUUUUGUCUAUAACUUUAUCAAAUCUUGGUCACCAUCGUAAGACCACAUUACCAAUAUUUUUCUCUACCAUGCUGAGUCACCUGGACACUACCCUCAAUCUGUCUGCAGGGGGAGCCACUUUGGCAACUAGGUCGGUCGGUUGGUCUGACUUUCCCUGAUCACUGACUAUGGGACAAGUGAGCUUCCAUGUCUUGAGCACACUCAAGUAGCUCCAUGGACAGGGAGCAGCUGAGACCUCCCACCAAUGCCACACAACCCAGCCUCUCUGGAAGCCCAACCUCCAUGCCCAAGGUGGCCUUCAGGUGACCACACCCCCAGCUGACACACCAUUACAAUUACCCGAGAGACUCCGUGCCAGAGCCUCCACACUGCCCGAGUUCUCAACCCACAGAAAUUGUGGUAACAAAUGCCUGAUUUUAAACCAUAAAGUGUUCAUUACACAGCAGUAGCUAUCCACAGAUAAAGAAACACCACCCUUUCAAGUUGAGUUAAGUGCAGCUAAUAAAUCAAGAUGAUGUGGAGGCAGGUGGAAGGGGCAAGAGGGUAAGAUGAGGUUCGUGAGGGACUCCCUUGUGGUGACACGGAGCUGAGAACGCAGUGGGGGGGUGGCCUGCUGUCCAACACCAGCAGAAACUGCUCAGGGCCAAUGGUGACUAUUUUUUUUUAUUAGUCCAUAUUUGCCAUACAUGGUGCUCACAUUCAUCAUAGGGAAUUUGUACCUGUACAUAAUAUAUCUUAAUUCUUUUUUCCCAUUUACCUCCCCUCCCUUUAACCCCUUUCCCUCCCCAUUUACAGCUUUGUUUUCAUUUUUUCCUUGUUUGUAAAUCCUUUUCCCCCUCCUUCCCUUCCCUCUGCCCCUCCUUGUUCCCUUUUCCAUUUGAACAUGUUCUUCCUACUUCCCAACAUCUAUCCUCCAUUUUGUUCCUUGUUUACCCUUAGUUUCUCACACAAGAGAAAUAAUGUGAUAUUUAAGCUUGUAUGACUUAUUUAUUUCACUUAAAACUAUGGCCUUGAGGUGCAUCUGUUUAACGACUCAAGUCUAUGCUUCUUUAUGGCAGAGUAGUACUCCACUGUAUAUAAACACCACAUGUUUAUUCAUUCAUUUAUUGAUGGGCAGAUGGGCUAUUAGAUUUAGCUAUUAUAUACAUUGUGCUACUAUAAACAUGGGUGUGCUAUAUCACUGUGGUAUGAUGCUUUUAACUCUUUCAGGAAGAUACCUAGAAGGGGAAUAGCUGGGUCAAAUGGAAUGUCUACUUUUAGUUUUUUGAGGAAUCUCCAUACUGAUUUCCAUAUAGGUUGUACCAAUUUACACUCCCAUCAACAGUAGAGAAGGGUUCCUUUUUCCCCACAGCCCCACCAGCAUUCGUUCUUGAUUUCUUGAUGGUAGCCAUUCUUUCUGGAGUCUCAGUGUUGUUUUCAUUUGCAUUUCUCAAAUGAUGUUGAACAGUUUUUCGUGUAUUUAUUUACUUCUUCAUCUGAGAAGUGUCUAUCCACUUCAGAUACCUAUUUUUGGAUUGAGUCUUUAAAUUUGGGAGGUCUGAUUUUUUUUUAGUUCUUCAUAUAUUCUAGAUGUUAGUCCUUUGAGGAGACUGACAAAAAUUUUUCCUACACUGUGGGUUGUCUCUUCACUCUGUUGGUGGUUGAUUUUGCUGUGGAAAAGCUUUUUAAUUUGAUGUGGUCUCAGUUGUUGAUUCUUUGUAAUAUUUUCUGUGUGCUCAGGGUUUUGUUCAUAAAGUUUUUGUUUACCCCAUGUCUUCAGAGUUUUACCUAUUCUAUCUUUCAGCAGAUUUAGUGUUUUCUGUUUUUAUAUUUAGAUCUUUGAUGCAUUUUGAUUUUAGUUUAGUGCAUGGUGAGAGAUAUGG